AAAAACCUUUCUUAAGAUGUUUCUUAGGCCCAAAUUUUGUUCCUCAAAUUGGGACAUAAAACGGCGUCGUUUGAUGUGUGGUAUCUAACAGUAAACUACAGUACAUACACUACACACACGUUCACCAUCCUCGCGAGAUAAGCUUGUAAAAACAACAAUGGCGAACCCAGAGAGUAGUAUCAGAAGCUCAAGAUGGUCUCUCAAGGGAACUACUGCUCUAGUCACUGGUGGAACGCGUGGAAUUGGGUUUGUUUUUAUUUUCCUUUCAACUUUUUUUCUUCUUUUCAUUUUGUGUUUAUUAUUCUCAUUUUUUGUGGACACUCUUUG
rnacentral:lncRNA from 1 species